rnacentral:rRNA from 1 species
AUUCCAGCUCCAAUAGCGUAUAUUAAAGUUGUUGCGGUUAAAAAGCUCGUAGUUGGAUUUCUGCUGAGGACGACCGGUCCGCCCUCUGGGUGAGUAUCUGGCUUGGCCUUGGCAUCUUCUUGGAGAACGUAGCUGCACUUGACUGUGUGGUGCGGUAUCCAGGACUUUUACUUUGAGGAAAUUAGAGUGUUUCAAGCAGGCACACGCCUUGAAUACAUUAGCAUGGAAUAAUAAGAUAGGACCCUGGUACUAUUUUGUUGGUUUGCGUACCUAGGUAAUGAUUAAUAGGGACAGUUGGGGGUAUUUGUAUUCUGUUGUCAGAGGUGAAAUUCUUGGAUUUACGGAAGACAAACUACUGCGAAAGCAUUUACCAAGGAUGUUUUCAUUG